rnacentral:rRNA from 1 species
UACGUAGGGGGCGAGCGUUGUCCGGAAUUAUUGGGCGUAAAGCGCGCGCAGGCGGUUUCUUAAGUCUGAUGUGAAAGCCCACGGCUCAACCGUGGAGGGUCAUUGGAAACUGGGAGACUUGAGUGCAGAAGAGAAGAGUGGAAUUCCACGUGUAGCGGUGAAAUGCGUAGAGAUGUGGAGGAACACCAGUGGCGAAGGCGACUCUUUGGUCUGUAACUGACGCUGAGGCGCGAAAGCGUGGGGAGCAAACAGG